rnacentral:rRNA from 1 species
CACGUAGGAGGCGAGCGUUGUCCGGAAUCAUUGGGCGUAAAGAGCGCGCAGGCGGCUUGGCAAGUCGGGUGUGAAAUCCCGGGGCUCAACCCCGGGACUGCAUUCGAUACUGUCAGGCUAGAGGUAGGUAGGGGAGAUCGGAAUUCCUGGUGUAGCGGUGAAAUGCGCAGAUAUCAGGAGGAACACCGGUGGCGAAGGCGGAUCUCUGGGCCAUUACUGACGCUGAGGAGCGAAAGCGUGGGGAGCGAACAGG